GGACAAUACUCCAACCAACUGAGCCACCAGCCACGGCAGCACUUUCUCAUAGGUUAUUACUAUGGUCUGAAAGUUUGUAUCCCCCAAAAAUUUAUAUGUUGAAAUCCAAAUCCCCAAAGGUGAUAUUAGUUGGUGGGCCCUAUGUCAUAAUGGGAUUAGAGCCUUAUAAAAGAGGCUGCAGGGAGCUCCCAACUCUGUCCACCACGUGAGGACAUAGCCAGCCUGGAAGAGAGUCCUAUCCAAAACAUGACCAUGCUGGUACCUUGACCUUGGACUUCCCAGCCUCCAAAACUCUGAGGAACAAAUGUCUGUUGCUUAUAAAACGAUGUGAUCUUAGCAUAUAAGCUUAGCUCAGUUUAGCUUAGACUGUUCUAUAGUAUUUUGUUAUAGCAGCUCAAACAAGCUAAAACAGUUACUAACAUUUUUUUUUCCACCAGAGCCUAACUAAGGUAGAUACUAUUUUUAUCUUCAUUUUGCCCCUAAGGAAACUCAUAUAAGUAGGUAAAUGUAACUGGAGAUACACUAGAUGAGAAAACUGAUAAGCUGUCAGAAGUGCAGACAAUGCCAAGUGAACAUGCCUGCUUUUCUUGCUAAGGUGACCCAUCCUCCUAGUUCUCCUAGGACUCUCCUGGUUUUAGUACUGAAAAUGCUGCAUCCUGGGAAAACCAGGACAAACUGUCACCCUGUCCUACCCAGAAAACUGUAAAUAAGACAUUAGACACUUCAUGCAAUCAGAUCCCUGGCCAUCGAAAAUGCAAUGACCAAACCCUGGGGGAUGGGGUUUAGAAUCUAAAGCUAACAAGUUACAUAAUAGCUGCUUGAUGCACCCACCCAGCUUCCUUCAAAGGAAUGCUGGAACAGGAAGUCAUUAAUAAGCUGAAAAGGAGCGGACGCCCAGAAAUGUGGUCCCCAGAGAUGUGGUCCCCAGAGAUGCGGUCCGUGGUCUGACCCUGGGAGAUAAAGAUGCUGGGUUCAAAGCUCAAGUGGAGAACACAUCGACUUCAAAGGCAGAGGGAAUCGAAGGUGCUCCCCAGCUUUGGGCUCUUCCUCUGCUGAAGAUGUGUACAAAGAUGGUCCAAGUCCUUUGGGGGUGUUUCCUCCUGUGGAAUGUCUACAUCUCAUCUGCUUGGACCACACACCCUGGAAUCAAGGCAAGGACUACUCAGCGGGCUCUGGACU